GUGCAGCAGGCGAGAAUUUUUCACAAUGGGGGAAACCCUGAUGGAGCGACGCCGCGUGGAGGAUGAAGGUAUUCGUAUCGUAAACUCCUGUCAAACGGGAACAAGAAAGUGAUAGUACCGUUGGAGGAAGAGACGGCUAACUCUGUGCCAGCAGCCGCGGUAAUACAGAGGUCUCAAGCGUUGUUCGGAUUCAUUGGGCGUAAAGGGUGCGCAGGCUGUGGGGUAAGUCGGAUGUGAAAUUUAGGGGCUCAACCCCUAAACUGCAUUCGAUACUGCUCCGCUAGAGGACUGUAGAGGAGAUUGGAAUUCACGGUGUAGCAGUGAAAUGCGUAGAUAUCGUGAGGAAGACCAGUGGCGAAGGCGAAUCUCUGGGCAGUUCCUGACGCUCAUGCACGAAGGCCAGGGGAGCAAACGGGAUUAGAUACCCGUGUAGU
rnacentral:rRNA from 1 species